rnacentral:rRNA from 1 species
CCUACGGGAGGCAGCAGUGGGGAAUAUUGCACAAUGGGGGAAACCCUGAUGCAGCGACGCCGCGUGAGUGAAGAAGUCAUUCGUUAUGUAAAGCUCUAUCAGCAGGGAAGAAAAUGACGGUACCUGAGUAAGAAGCCCCGGCUAACUACGUGCCAGCAGCCGCGGUACUACGUAGGGGGCAAGCGUUAUCCGGAUUUACUGGGUGUAAAGGGAGCGUAGACGGCAGUGCAAGUCUGGAGUGAAAGGCGGGGGCUCAACCCCCGGACUGCUCUGGAAACUGUAAGGCUGGAGUGCAGGAGAGGUAAGUGGAAUUCCUAGUGUAGCGGUGAAAUGCGUAGAUAUUAGGAGGAACACCAGUGGCGAAGGCGGCUUACUGGACUGUAACUGACGUUGAGGCUCGAAAGCGUGGGGAGCAAACAGGAUUAGAUACCCGGGUAGUC